rnacentral:tRNA from 1 species
GCCGGAAUAGCUCAGUUGGUAGAGCGACUGAUUCGUAAUCAGUAGGUCCGCGGUUCGAUUCCGCGUUCCGGCACCA